rnacentral:rRNA from 1 species
CUGGCGGCGUGCCUAACACAUGCAAGUCGAACGAAGCAUACGGACUGGAGAUUCGUCGAAGGACUGUAUGACUUAGUGGCGGACGGGUGAGUAAUGUAUGAGCAACCUGCCUUUCAGAGGGGGACAACAGUUGGAAACGACUGCUAAUACCGCGUAACGUAUCGUGAGGGCAUCCUCGUGAUACCAAAGGAGCAAUCCGCUGAAAGAUGGGCUCAUAUCUGAUUAGCUUGUUGGCGGGUAAGGCCCACCAAGGCGACGAUCAGUAGCCGGACUGAGAGGUUGAACGGCCACAUUGGGACUGAGAUACGGCCCAGACUCCUACGGGAGGCAGCAGUGGGGAAUAUUGGGCAAUGGGCGAAAGCCCUGACCCAGCAACGCCGCGUGAAGGAAGAAGGUCUUCGGAUUGUAAACUUCUUUUAUGAGGGACGAAGGACGUGACGGUACCUCAUGAAUAAGCCACGGCUAACUACGUGCCAGCCGCCGC